CCCCUCUCAGGGUCGCACCUGGAGAAUUUCCAGUACUCUGCCAGUCUCGGCUAUGGGAAAGAGAGUUAAGCAGAGGCAUGCCCAUUCCAUUCCUAGCUUGGGCAGUGGCUAGUGAAUGGCAGGCAAUCUGCUAUAUAU